UACUUUAUAUGAACAGAGAU
rnacentral:snRNA from 1 species